UCCUCCUACAAAGGCGUGUCUGUGGUUCCCUGUCCUUAGACACGUAAGAAUUGGAGGCAAAAUAUGGAUUUGGAGAAGUUUGGGGCCAGCUUGCUCCUCGCAGGCUCCAGCGCCCCCAGCCCACACUG
rnacentral:snoRNA from 1 species